CGACUCUCGGCAACGGAUAUCUCGGCUCUCGCAUCGAUGAAGAACGUAGCGAAAUGCGAUACUUGGUGUGAAUUGCAGAAUCCCGUGAACCAUCGAGUCUUUGAACGCAAGUUGCGCCCGAAGCCUUUAGGUCGAGGGCACGCCUGCCUGGGCGUCACGCAU
rnacentral:rRNA from 1 species